AGAAAUUCCAAUCGAACCUGGAGAUAGCUGGUUCUCUCCGAAAUAGCUUUAGGGCUAGCCUCAAGUGAUGAUUAUUGGAGGUAGAGCACUGUUUGGACGAGGGGCCCCUCUCGGGUUACCGAAUUCAGACAAACUCCGAAUGCCAAUUAAUUUAACUUGGGAGUCAGAACAUGGGUGAUAAGGUCCGUGUUCGAAAGGGAAACAGCCCAGACCACCAGCUAAGGUCCCAAAAUAUAUGUUAAGUGGAAAAGGAUGUGGCGUUGCCCAGACAACUAGGAUGUUGGCUUAGAAGCAGCCAUCAUUUAAAGAGUGCGUAAUAGCUCACUAGUCGAGUGACACUGCGCCGAAAAUGUACCGGGGCUAAACAUAUUACCGAAGCUGUGGAUUGUCCUUUGGACAAUGGUAGGAGAGCGUUCUAAGGGCGUUGAAGCAUGAUCGUAAGGACAUGUGGAGCGCUUAGAAGUGAGAAUGCCGGUGUGAGUAGCGAAAGACGGGUGAGAAUCCCGUCCACCGAUUGACUAAGGUUUCCAGAGGAAGGCUCGUCCGCUCUGGGUUAGUCGGGUCCUAAGCUGAGGCCGACAGGCGUAGGCGAUGGAUAACAGGUUGAUAUUCCUGUACCACCUAUAAUCGUUUUAAUCGAUGGGGGGACGCAGUAGGAUAGGCGAAGCGUGCGAUUGGAUUGCACGUCUAAGCAGUAAGGCUGAGUAUUAGGCAAAUCCGGUACUCGUUAAGGCUGAGCUGUGAUGGGGAGAAGACAUUGUGUCUUCGAGUCGUUGAUUUCACACUGCCGAGAAAAGCCUCUAGAUAGAAAAUAGGUGCCCGUACCGCAAACCGACACAGGUAGUCAAGAUGAGAAUUCUAAGGUGAGCGAGCGAACUCUCGUUAAGGAACUCGGCAAAAUGACCCCGUAACUUCGGGAGAAGGGGUGCUCUUUAGGGUUAACGCCCAGAAGAGCCGCAGUGAAUAGGCCCAAGCGACUGUUUAUCAAAAACACAGGUCUCUGCUAAACCGUAAGGUGAUGUAUAGGGGCUGACGCCUGCCCGGUGCUGGAAGGUUAAGAGGAGUGGUUAGCUUCUGCGAAGCUACGAAUCGAAGCCCCAGUAAACGGCGGCCGUAACUAUAACGGUCCUAAGGUAGCGAAAUUCCUUGUCGGGUAAGUUCCGACCCGCACGAAAGGCGUAACGAUUUGGGCACUGUCUCAACGAGAGACUCGGUGAAAUCAUAGUACCUGUGAAGAUGCAGGUUACCCGCGACAGGACGGAAAGACCCCGUGGAGCUUUACUGUAGCCUGAUAUUGAAAUUCGGCACAGCUUGUACAGGAUAGGUAGGAGCCUUUGAAACGUGAGCGCUAGCUUACGUGGAGGCGCUGGUGGG
rnacentral:rRNA from 1 species